rnacentral:rRNA from 1 species
GGGGACCAUCCUCCAAGGCUAAAUACUCCUGACUGACCGAUAGUGAACCAGUACCGUGAGGGAAAGGCGAAAAGAACCCCGGCGAGGGGAGUGAAAAAGAACCUGAAACCGUGUACGUACAAGCAGUGGGAGCACCCUUUGGGGUGUGACUGCGUACCUUUUGUAUAAUGGGUCAGCGACUUAUAUUCUGUAGCAAGGUUAACCGAAUAGGGGAGCCGGAGGGAAACCGAGUCUUAAUUGGGCGUUAAGUUGCAGGGUAUAGACCCGAAACCCGGUGAUCUAGCCAUGGGCAGGUUGAAGGUUGGGUAACACUAACUGGAGGACCGAACCGACUAAUGUUGAAAAAUUAGCGGAUGACCUGUGGCUGGGGGUGAAAGGCCAAUCAAACCGGGAGAUAGCUGGUUCUCCCCGAAAGCUAUUUAGGUAGCGCCUCGUGAAUUCAUCUCCGGGGGUAGAGCACUGUUUCGGCUAGGGGGCCAUCCCGGCUUACCAACCCGAUGCAAACUGCGAAUACCGGAGAAUGUUAUCACGGGAGACACACGGCGGGUGCUAACGUCCGUCGUGAAGAGGGAAACAACCCAGACCGCCAGCUAAGGUCCCAAAGUCAUGGUUAAGUGGGAAACGAUGUGGGAAGGCCCAGACAGCCAGGAUGUUGGCUUAGAAGCAGCCAUCAUUUAAAGAAAGCGUAAUAGCUCACUGGUCGAGUCGGCCUGCGCGGAAGAUGUAACGGGGCUAAACCAUGCACCGAAGCUGCGGCAGCGACACUAUGUGUUGUUGGGUAGGGGAGCGUUCUGUAAGCCUGCGAAGGUGGCCUGUGAGGGUUGCUGGAGGUAUCAGAAGUGCGAAUGCUGACAUAAGUAACGAUAAAGCGGGUGAAAAGCCCGCUCGCCGGAAGACCAAGGGUUCCUGUCCAACGUUAAUCGGGGCAGGGUGAGUCGACCCCUAAGGCGAGGCCGAAAGGCGUAGUCGAUGGGAAACGGGUUAAUAUUCCCGUACUUGGUGUUACUGCGAAGGGGGGACGGAGAAGGCUAUGUUGGCCGGGCGACGGUUGUCCCGGUUUAAGCGUGUAGGUGUGUGUUCCAGGUAAAUCCGGUUCACUUUAACACUGAGGCGUGACGACGAGGCACUACGGUGCUGAAGCAACAAAUGCCCUGCUUCCAGGAAAAGCCUCUAAGCAUCAGGUAACAUCAAAUCGUACCCCAAACCGACACAGGUGGUCAGGUAGAGAAUACCAAGGCGCUUGAGAGAACUCGGGUGAAGGAACUAGGCAAAAUGGUGCCGUAACUUCGGGAGAAGGCACGCUGACACGUAGGUGAAGUGAUUUACUCACGGAGCUGAAGUCAGUCGAAGAUACCAGCUGGCUGCAACUGUUUAUUAAAAACACAGCACUGUGCAAACACGAAAGUGGACGUAUACGGUGUGACGCCUGCCCGGUGCCGGAAGGUUAAUUGAUGGGGUCAGCGCAAGCGAAGCUCCUGAUCGAAGCCCCGGUAAACGGCGGCCGUAACUAUAACGGUCCUAAGGUAGCGAAAUUCCUUGUCGGGUAAGUUCCGACCUGCACGAAUGGCGUAAUGAUGGCCAGGCUGUCUCCACCCGAGACUCAGUGAAAUUGAACUCGCUGUGAAGAUGCAGUGUACCCGCGGCAAGACGGAAAGACCCCGUGAACCUUUACUAUAGCUUGACACUGAACAUUGAGCCUUGAUGUGUAGGAUAGGUGGGAGGCUUUGAAGCGUGGACGCCAGUCUGCGUGGAGCCGACCUUGAAAUACCACCCUUUAAUGUUUGAUGUUCUAACGUGGACCCGUGAUCCGGGUUGCGGACAGUGUCUGGUGGGUAGUUUGACUGGGGCGGUCUCCUCCUAAAGAGUAACGGAGGAGCACGAAGGUUGGCUAAUCCUGGUCGGACAUCAGGAGGUUAGUGCAAUGGCAUAAGCCAGCUUGACUGCGAGCGUGACGGCGCGAGCAGGUGCGAAAGCAGGUCAUAGUGAUCCGGUGGUUCUGAAUGGAAGGGCCAUCGCUCAACGGAUAAAAGGUACUCCGGGGAUAACAGGCUGAUACCGCCCAAGAGUUCAUAUCGACGGCGGUGUUUGGCACCUCGAUGUCGGCUCAUCACAUCCUGGGGCUGAAGUAGGUCCCAAGGGUAUGGCUGUUCGCCAUUUAAAGUGGUACGCGAGCUGGGUUUAGAACGUCGUGAGACAGUUCGGUCCCUAUCUGCCGUGGGCGCUGGAGAACUGAGGGGGGCUGCUCCUAGUACGAGAGGACCGGAGUGGACGCAUCACUGGUGUUCGGGUUGUCAUGCCAAUGGCACUGCCCGGUAGCUAAAUGCGGAAGAGAUAAGUGCUGAAAGCAUCUAAGCACGAAACUUGCCCCGAGAUGAGUUCUCCCUGAGACUUUAGGUCUCCUGAAGGAACGUUGAAGACGACGACGUUGAUAGGCCGGGUGUGUAAGCGCAGCGAUGCGUUGAGCUAACCGGUACUAAUGAACCGUGAGGCUUAACCUUACA